UUGCUGGUGUUCAGCUGCUGCGCUGGCUGUGUUUCUGACAGACGUAGCGUAGCUUGGUGGAGCAGUGCAGGUCGUUGAGGCGUCCGUCAAAGUGAAGAUGAGCACAGUCUUCGUCUCCGGGACCGAGACCGUGAGCCGUCCAGCUGUCCGGCUGACCUGGUUUCCAGCGCCUGGAAACACAAACAAACAACACAAACAAAACAAACACAAGUUUCAGGUCCAACAUGUUGCCCCUCAGCGGUCCAUAAAGUCAUGAAACCUCAGUGAAACCUGAGUUCACUCACUGCUGGCUGCCAGGGCGAUGAUCAGGACGAGGACGAGCGUCGCCGUGGCAGCCGGAAACAUCCAGCGUCUGUAUCCGUGGACGGACAGGACGACGGGCCGAGGCUCUGACGGACAGACGGACAACAGACAGAAAGGUGGUGUGAGGUCACGGUGGGCUGCUUCCUGGUUCUGGUGUCCAGGUGUGUUCAGGUACCUUUGUUCCAGAAGGAGCUGCUGUCGUCCUCCACGUCGUCAUGGUAUUCAGUCGUCAUGGCGAUGUCUCCGUUCCGUCUUCUAACAGACUGUCGAAUGUCCAAACAGAGCCGCAGGUCGUCGGCCUCCAAGCGCACUUUGAACUGGAAAACACCGAGUGUCCCACUGUGUGUUUGUGUGUCUGAAGUUCAGUGAGUGUGGAGAGUUUAACAUCAACACAGCGUUUACCGUCCAGCUGUUUGCCACAUUAGUGUUUGGUGUGUGUCAGUUAGUGUCUAUCUCUUUGGUCUUUGGUUUGUGGUUGUUUUGGAUCUUUUUGUAGUUUUUUGUGUCUCUGUGGUUGUGUUCAUUUAAGGUCAGAUAUCUCUAUUUGUGGCCAGUAGUGUUUUGUUUUUAGCUCUGUGCAACAACAGACAGCCUGACGGAAGAACAAAAAGUGAACAAGUCAUAAAUGUAGAAACAUUCCUGAUACUACUUCAUACAUCUUUAUAAAUCACUCUACAUGUUUUA